rnacentral:misc_RNA from 1 species
UUAAGUUCAGCGGGUAUUCCUACCUGAUCCGAGGUCAACCUUGAUGAUAAAUAGGAGACCGGCCCGGAGGGUCCUUGAAACUCAGCGCGUGCUCCUAAAAGCUCGUUGCACCGAGGGUCCCACGGACGCCGUCAUUGUCUUUGAGACCAGUUGUUCACACAACUUGGGUCUAACACCAAACACGGGGUUUGAGGGGGGAU